GCUGAGUAGGGUCUUCAGCAUCAAUCCAUUUUCACUUUUCAUCUUGUCUCAGCUCUCUCUCCCUCUCAAAGGCUCAUUGCUAUCGGAAAUCGCUCUGUCACGCUGGAGGCGGCGAAGCUGAUUAGAACAGCCUAUUACCACCACCAAACACAUCCUCUCAAACUCCUCUCUUUCAAUAUUGCAUCAAUUUCUUCCUAAACUCAAACAAUUUUCAGAAUCGAACCAAGAAAAACAAGAAUCGUGGGUCCUAAAAACUGAAAUUAAAUGUUGAGGGAGGGGAAUCAAGCAACGCCACCUUGGGGAUUUGAUUCCCUCAUUGGAGGAUACAUGAUGAUAACAAAUUUGAAGUAAAAGAAGCAAGGAUAGGAACUGACCUAUCGGUGAGACCGUGGCUUGUCUCAGAUUUUGUUGGAGAUGAAGAUGAAGAUUACAAAGAGAAAACCAGAGGAAUGACAUGGUGGAGAUUGGCAAUGCAACAAGGAAAUUUGGUGUGGAAUCAUGGCAUGUCAUGCAUGGCAUUAUGGUGCUUGUAAUGGAGGGAAUGAACUUGGGAGAAUUUUGGAGGCACGAAGAUAUAAGACCUAGUGAGAAUAAAGGCAAAAGUAGAUUUAUUAGGGUUUAGGAUAGUUAGUUGACUUUGGUCAUCUGUUUGACCAAAAAGUUAACAGUUGACCAAAAGUCAACUCUAGGUCAAAUGUGUCUUUUUUGUGUAAUUUUGAUUUGGCUUUGUAAAAAUGAUAUGUUUGAAGGUUUUAUGAUGGAGAUUUGUGAUGUUGUAAUGAAAUGGAUCCUUGGAUUGUAAUAUGUGUCUUGUAUUUCAAGAAAGAUGAUUUUCCCUCCAAA